rnacentral:tRNA from 1 species
GCUUAGGUAGUAUAAUUAUUACUCUGGUCUUGUAAGCCAAAAAUGGAGAACAUACUCUCCCCAAAGCA